rnacentral:misc_RNA from 1 species
GAUGAAGAUCGCAGCGAAAUGCGAAAAGUAAUGUGAAUUGCAGAAUUCAGUGAAUCAUCGAAUCUUUGAACGCACAUUGCGCCCGCCAGUAUUCUGGCGGGCAUGCCUGUCUGAGCGUCAUUUCAACCCUCACGCCCCUAGGGCGUGGUGUUGGGGAUCGGCCAGCGCCCUCGCGGGCGAGGCCGUCCCCUAAAUCUAGUGGCGGACCCGUCGUGGCCUCCCCUGCGAAGUAGUGAUAUUCCGCAUAGGAGAGCGACGAGCCCCUGCCGUUAAACCCCCAACUUUCUCAGGUUGACCUCAGAUCAGGUAGGAAUACCCGCUGAACUUAAGCAUAUCAAUAAGCGGAGGA